AGGACGAACGCUGGCGGCGUGCUUAACACAUGCAAGUCGAGCGAGGCUCUCUCCUUCGGGAGGGAUGCCCUAGCGGCGAACGGGUGAGUAACACGUGGGCAACCUGCCCCUAGCACUGGGAUAACUUCGGGAAACCGAGGCUAAUACCGGAUAUGACCUCUGAGGGCAUCCUCGGAGGUGUAAAGGAUUCUGGCUAGGGAUGGGCCCGCGGCCUAUCAGCUUGUUGGUGGGGUAAUGGCCCACCAAGGCGACGACGGGUAGCCGGCCUGAGAGGGCGACCGGGCCACGACUGGGACUGAGACACGGCCCAGACUCCUACGGGAGGCAGCAGUGGGGAAUAUUGCACAAUGGGCGCAAGCCUGAUGCAGCGACGCCGCGUGAGGGAUGACUGCCUUCGGGUUGUAAACCUCUUUCAGCAGGGACGAAGCGAAAGUGACGGUACCUGCAGAAGAGCACCGGCCAACUACGUACCAGCAGCCGC
rnacentral:rRNA from 1 species